ACUGCGACGGCGUUGACUGAGGGGGCGCCACUAGGCGCGGUCACGUGCAUUCGCGGUGCAUUCGCGGGGGCGUCGGUGCGGGUCGCGUCUCUUAAGACACCCAGGGAGACAGACGUGGGGCAGAACUCAUGGGCUGAAGUGAGAGAUGGCUGGGGCCCAGGCGAGCGACCGAGCAGGGUCCGAACAGAGCCAGCGAGGGACCCCGGGCUGUGCUUGAGGCCCGACGACGCGCCAUAUCCCGGCAGCGCCGCAGCUCAGGCCUCUGCGAAUCUGUGGUCCACACGCUGAUAAACUUAGAGGCCUCUGCACUGGGGCAGAAACCGAAAGGCAUGACCCAGACCGAGAAAGAUAUUUGCAUACUGAGAAAGUGUGAAACACAAUUGUCGAGACUAAAAGGAGACACUGAGAGGAUACGCCAAUCAGGCUGAAGCAACUUACCAAACAUGAGGGGAUUUAAAGAAACAGGACCUAGGUACUUUUUCCCUCUUGAGAACCAGACAUUUAAAGAAAUCUCUCAUCAGGUCACUGGCUGACCCCAGAGACAAUGGAAGAAAAAUUUCAGUGAAAACACACAAGGAAUACUUGCUUUACAAAAAUAGCUUAGAAAAGUCACAAAAGGAUGGUUCCAGCCAUCAACAAGCAAAACCCAGCAAUUCCUGAGGAGUGAGAGAAUUAAGACUGCAGAACUACCACAACAUAAGGCUCAGAAUGUCCAGUUCACAGUAAAAAAAAAAACUACAGAAUAGGCCAGGCGCGGUGGUCAUGCCUGUAAUCCAGCACUUUGGGAGGCCGAGACGGGUGGAUCACGAGGUCAGGAGAUCGAGACCAUUCUGGCUAACACUGUGAAACCCUAUCUCUACUAAAAAUACAAAAACAUUAGCCAGGCAUGGUGGCGGGCGCCCAGCUACUCAGGAGGCUGAGGCAGGAGAAUGGCAUGAACCCGGGGGGCGGAGCUCACAGUGAACGGAGAUCGCGCCACUGCACUCCAGCCUGGGCAACAGAGUGAGACUCCUUCUCAAAAAAAAAAAAAACAAAAACCAAGAACUACAGAAUAUACAAAGAAACAUGAAAGUAUGGCCCAUUGAAAGGAAAAAAAAUUGAUGGAAACCAUCCCUGAGAAAGCCUAGACAUCAAAAUUAUUAGUGAAAUACAUUAAACCAACUGUCUUUAGUAUGUUCAGUGAGCUAAAGGAAGACAUGGAAAAGAACCAAAGUAAAAAAAACUGUUGUCUGAACAAAAUGAGAAUAUCAAUAAAGAGAUAGAAAUUAGCAAAAGUAACCAAAAAGAUAUUGUGAAAUGAAAAGUGUAAAAACUGAAGUGAAAAACUCACUGGAGAGAUAUAACAGCAGAUUUGAGCAGGCAGAAAGAAAGAAACGGUGAAUGUGAAGACAUUUGAAAUUAUCUAAUCAGAGGAACAGAAAGAAGAAAAAAGAAUUAAAAAGACUAAAUAGGCCUAGGGAACUGUGGGACAUCAUUAAGUGGGUAAACAUAUGCUUUAUAAGCAUCCCAGGAGGAGAAGAGAAAGAGAAAAAGGGGCAGAAAAAAUAUUUUGGGGAAAUAAAGGCUAAAAACUUCCAUAAUCUGAUGACAGACAUGAAGAUACACACCCAAGAAGCACAAAGAUUUUCAAGCAGGCUAUCUCAAGAGAAAUCCACACUGAAACAUUAUGUUCAAAUUGUGGAAACUGAAGGACAAAGAGAGAAUUUUGAAAGCAAGAGAGAAGCAACUCAUCAUGUACAAGUGAUCCUCAAUAAAAUAAACAGCUGAUUUCUUGUUAAAGGCAUGGAGGCCAGAAGGCAGGGAAUGGCAUAAAGUCCUGAAAAAAAAAUGUCAACCAAGAAUUCGAUUUCCAGCAGAAUUAUUAUUAUUAUUAUUUUUGAGAUGGAGUCUCGCUCUGUCGCCCAGGGUGGAGUGCAGUGGCACAAUCGGCUCACUGCAAGCUCCACCUCCUGGGUUUCCUCCAUUCUCCUGCCUCAGCCUCCCAAGAAUUCGAUUUCCAGCAGAAUUAUUAUUAUUAUUAUUAUUAUUAUUAUUAUUAUUAUUAUUUUGAGAUGGAGUCUCGCUCUGUCGCCCAGGGUGGAGUGCAGUGGCACAAUCGGCUCACUGCAAGAUCCACCUCCUGGGUUUCCUCCAUUCUCCUGCCUCAGCCUCCCAAGUAGCUGGGACUAUAGGCGCCCGCCACCAGGCCCGGCUAAUUUUUUGUAUUUUUGGUAGAGAUGGGGUUUCACCGUGUUAGCCAGGAUGGUCUUGAUCUCCUGACCUCACGAUCUGCCCACCUCAGCCUCCCAAAGUGCUGGGAUUAUAGGAGUGAGCCACCGCGCCCGGCCCCAGCACAAUUAUUUUUAAGGAAUGAGGGAGAAAUUAAGAUGUUUCAAGAUAAACAGAAGUUGAGAGAAUUUAUUACCGGUAGACCUGCCCUACAAGAAAUGCUAAUGGUAGUUCUUCGUGAUAAAAUAAAAAGAUUCUAGGCCUGGCGUGGUGGCUCACACCUGUAAUCUCAGCACUUUGGGAGGCUGAGGCAGGUGGAUCACUUGAGGUUAGAAGUUCAAGACCAGCCUGGCCAACAUGGCAAAACCCUGCCUCUACUAAAACAACUACAAAAAUUAGCCAGGUGUGUUAGCAUGUGCCUGUAAUAAUCCCAGCUACUCAGGAGGCUGAGGCAAGAGAAUCGCUUGAACCCCGGAGGUGGAGGUUGCAGUGAGCCAAGAUUGUGCCACUGCACUACAACCUGGGAGACAGAGCUAGACUCUGUCUCAAAAAAUAAUAAUAAAAAAAAAUAGAUAAAAAAUAACUGCUGGGCACAGUGGCUCACGCCUGUAAUCCCAGCACUUUGGGAGGCUGAGGCAGGCAGAUCACAAGGUCAAGAGAUCGAGACCAUCCUGGCCAACACGGUGAAACCCCAUCUCUACUAAAAAAAAUACAAAAAAUUAGCCGGGCAUGGU
rnacentral:lncRNA from 1 species